rnacentral:rRNA from 1 species
UCCGCCCGGGGACUACGAGCUUUAGCUUAAAACCCAAAGGACUUGGCGGUGCCCUAUUCCACCUAGAGGAGCCUGUUCUAUAAUCGAUAAUCCACGAUAUACCUCACCAUUUCUUGCCAAAACUGCCUAUAUACCGCCGUCGUCAAUUUACCCUUUGAAGGACCCAUAGAAAGUUAAAAGGUACUCGCCAAAACGUCAGGUCAAGGUGUAGCGAAUGAAAUGGGAAGAAACGGGCUACAUUUUCUAAAAUAGACUAAACGGAAAAUCAAUAUGAAAUCUGAUCAAGAAGGAGGAUUUAGUAGUAAAAAGAAAUCAGCAAGUUCUUUUUAACAUGGCCCUAGGGCGCGCACACACCGCCCGUCACCCUCUUCGACUCUUCUAAUUAUUUACUUAAUAAACUACCUUGAAUUAAGAAGAGGUAAGUCGUAACAUGGUAAGUAUACCGGAAGGUGUACUUGGA